rnacentral:lncRNA from 1 species
UGAUUUGAGAACAUCUAAAACCAUAUAGCCACAUAACUGGAGAUGUACAUUCAAAAGAAGUUUUUGUUAUUCAUAAAUCUUCCUGGUGAUUUCAAAAUGGCCGCUUGGUCAGGCUGAGGGAGCGGGACAGGAAUUCAUGAGGCAGCACCCCAUGCUGCAUGAAGAAAGCGGAGCCAAGGUUGUAAGACAAACAGCAAAGCCAGUAAGAAGGUGUCGAAGGCUACACCUGAAAGCAGAAAUAACGAACCAAAGGAAAAGUGAUAAAGGAGAGAAGGAAAUUAAGGAGAGAAAGCACGGAGAGAGUGCUCUCAGAAGAUGCCUUCAGCCACCAGGAGCAGACGCGCUGAAAACAGGAGAGAACAAAAGAAGACAAAGAUCCAAGGGUCCAGACCUACCCAGCUUGGGGAAGUAAGAGAGGCGUCUGGGGCAGGGUCUCCCUUCUCUCCCGUCUCGGCCGUCAGUGUCAUUCUGCAAUAGCUUCCCCGAGAAGCCCGGCCCUCCUGGGUUUCCCGAGAGUUUCCUUUCUCCCUGUAGCCACGGCCUGAGGACAGUUCUGAAGACAUGACAGGAGGGCGGUACAUGGUCAAAUCCUGCACGCUCGUAAGAAAAACAGGAAGACCAUUCUAAGGCCGAUGCCUUUGGACAGACAACAUCUAUAUUUAAAAGGGUACUCACCAGACGCCUUACUUUUGUGUAGUAGUGAUUAUGUAUGGUGUAGUUUUCCAAGGUCAUCCGAGAACACAGAAAAGCUGCCGAGUUAGUUAUUAUUCCUAGUAUCCUUCCAUACUCAACGAUCUCCUCCCCAGGACCGACGUUUGGGGUUUUAGACUAGCUUAUCCCCCACCAUGCAUCUUAAAACAUAAGCGAUGUGCGGAGCACAUGCACGAUGGGUGGGUAGAGAUUACACAGAAAAACAGAAAUUAGGGGCGCCUGGGCGGCUCAGUGAGUUAAGCGGCCAACUCUCGGUUUGGGCUCAGGCGGUGAUCUCGCGGUUCGUGAGCUCGAGCCCCGCAUCGGGCCCUGUGCUGACAACGUGGAAUUUCUCUCUCUCCUCCUCUCUCUGCCCCUUCCCCACUCUCUCUCUCUUUCCCAAAACAAACAAACAAAUAAAUAAUAAAGUAAAAAAAAAUUAAAAAACA